AGUCGGUCCUAUCAAUCCUGCAGACUCUCUUGUCUGAGAUGGAGCGGAGAUGACCCACUUGCAAGCAGUGAUCCAGCUGGCGAUUCGAACACAACUCCAGAACGCUGUCAUUCGAUGACUGCCUACAAGAUGAGACAUCACGCUGCCGAAGGAUUGCUUUUGGCAUUUUGCCUAUAAUGCUUGCAUUUUAUUUUUUUUUUUGGAGGAGAGGAGGAAAACCUGCCUGCCAAGGGAUUUGCCCUGUUUUAGUGGCUCCUGUGUGAUUUUCCUUUGGAAACCUCAUCAGUCAUCUGGAUGGGGUUCAGUGGACCUGCAGUGUACAGCGCCAGAUCUAUGAACUGCUGAUGAAGCAUCGAAAACUAGAAGCAACCUGAAGAACCUACGCAACGAGAAGCAACUGAAGUACCUACACAACUCAAGAAGUCGACUAUUACCUAACCCUAUCCCUAAACCUUUUACCUAUGGUCGGCUUCUGGUUGUCUGUUGCUUGGUUGGUAGGUCAUGGGGAUGGCCUGCUGGGAAAAACAACCUGUUUUUAUUUUUAUUUACAAGGCUGUGCAACUUUCUGAAAAAAAAGACAAUAAAAUUUGAAAAACCUGGUAACUGAAA